rnacentral:ribozyme from 1 species
ACAAGCUUGAGGCCAUAGCAGAAGCAAUCAUGGCAUGGACUGUCAGAUUCCAACGAAUCUGUAAAUUCUGCU